GCCGGAUUUCAGAGGGCUGUCUCAAAUGACAGUGUCAGCACUAGGAGCUGAUGGUUAAAGCUUUGCAAGAAAACAGCAUCCAGCAUUUUCUUUUGCUACUCUCAUGGACCAACAUGAAGAGCAAAGGGCUUCAGUGAAAUUCAAUAUUGUCAAAGCGCUCUGGGAUGUGAAUUCCAUCCCUCCAGUCUGGGUGACACCUUCAUCUUCUCAACCAGCAUUGAUAUUCCUGCCCAGGAACUUAAGAACUGCCCCUUGCUGUGGUCUGGGUCUCAAGGCUCUUUUCCUGGGAGCUUAAGACUUUUGACUUUUCCCUUGAAGGCGUCCGCAUGCCUCCAUGCCUGGCUUACCUGCAGCCUGUCUAACCCCCAAGAGAUGCAUCCGAGACAGCGUCAUAACCUCUGCUUCCAAACCACCAUCACUAAAGGCACAGUCCUGAGGGAAAUGAAUCAUCGCCUUGGAAAUUUGCAACCUAUGGGCUGAAUUCAGCUCACAGAAGUGUUUUUUCCACAGGGUGUUUUGCUUUGAUUUUUAAACUUGAAUUAGAUGCCUAU
rnacentral:lncRNA from 1 species